rnacentral:rRNA from 1 species
GACGAACGCUGGCGGCGUGCCUAAUACAUGCAAGUCGAGCGGACUUGACAGAGCUUGCUCUGUUCAAGUUAGCGGCGGACGGGUGAGUAACACGUGGGCAACCUGCCCUGCAGAUUGGGAUAACUCCGGGAAACCGGGGCUAAUACCGAAUAACAUGGAAAACCUCAUGGUUUUCUUUUAAAAGGCGGCUUCGGCUGUCACUGCAGGAUGGGCCCGCGGCGCAUUAGCUAGUUGGUGAGGUAACGGCUCACCAAGGCGACGAUGCGUAGCCGACCUGGGAGGGGGAUCGGCCACACUGGGACUGAGACACGGCCCAGACUCCUACGGGAGGCAGCAGUAGGGAAUCUUCCGCAAUGGACGAAAGUCUGACGGAGCAACGCCGCGUGAGUGAAGAAGGUUUUCGGAUCGUAAAACUCUGUUGUUAGGGAAGAACAAGUAUCGGAGUAACUGCCGGUACCUUGACGGUACCUGACCAGAAAGCCACGGCUAACUACGUGCCAGCCGCCGCAGUAACAC